AAUCUUAUAUUCAUUUUAGUGAUUUUAAAUUGCAAAUUUAAAGGGAAAGAAAUUUUAAGGUUU
rnacentral:tRNA from 1 species